GUGCAGAAAGGAUCAGCACCCUCACUGUCUGGCUAAUGGAUCAGUGGUGCUAGGCAGCUGCCGCGUCAAGCGAGCUGUGUGUGUGGAGAAUGUACUUGAAGACUUUGGCUGGCUCUCCUGUGCCCUUCAGUAAAGCUAUCCGUUGAGUGCUUGUCUACCUGUUAUCACCGGCCACCCAGCACCACCAUACUCUAUGGAAUCGUCUGCCUGUUAUCGCCGGCCACCCAGCAAUACCGGACUCUGUGCAAUCGUCUACCUCUUGUCACUGGUCACCCAGCAACACCAGACUUUCUACAAUCGUCGUCCUGUUGUCCCUUGGACACUAAGGUGCGGGCAUGGUCCCUGUCAUUCAUGUGUAAUCGGACACUACAAGCAUAUGGUUAAGACAACAGUAGGUGACGAGUGGUCAUAUGUGUCCUACGUUUAGGUCAUCUGGACAGAUAUUAGCAUGGAAGUUGAUAGUUUCUUCUCUGAUGUGAUCAGUAGCAUGUAUUGGUGUAUCGCCAGUAUUGAUGACCACUCAGAAACACUGCCCAUACGGACAAAAGCGUAAAUAGGUACGUGGCUGGACAACUUGCAUAGGGUUAUAGACACACUGAUUUCUGCAUUGAUACACAUUCUGUCGGCUCUUGUUGAUACACAUAUACACAGAAGUAGCUGUAGCUGCAGGGAGUUACAUAACGAAACCGGUAAAACACCUCUCAAGAAAAUGGGAUAAAACAAGCCACUGUGUGUAUAUUAAGAAUGAUGUUAUCAUUGCUUCGGAAUGUCUCUGAGAGUUAAUUCCAUAUAAGAUAGACAUACAUCAUCAUUACAACAUCUUUUCAAGACCAUGUUUCGCAUUAUGUCCAUUCUUCCAGUUGCUACUCGCCUUUGGAAUCUAGUACCAGAUGAUUGUAAGGAUAGAAAUAAUAAUAGUGGAGCUAUGGAACAUUUCAAAAUCGUAGAGAUUUUUACUGUCACUUUGCCCACAGUGGUUUCGGAAUUAAAUGUAGUCAUCUUUAUAGUCACACAGUUGAAAGACAUGUUUCGAAUGCUGAACCAACGACUAAUCCCCUACUCACAGUCAUCUUACACGAAGGGAUAUGAAACAAGUAACGGGAAAUUAGCCACAAGAUAUCUUAUAGGUAUGUUUGUCCAUGAAUUCAUCGGAUAAUACAUGCUAUAGUCCCAUAUGUUGACUGUAGUGCUGGUAACACAGACGUCCCUUUCACAAAACACAACGUAAAUAGUUUGUCAUUUAUCAUGAAAACUACACUUUUGUAGAAACGCACGAGCACCAGUAUAAAAUACGGUCAACUGACACUGUUAGUGAUAUCUCUGUUAAAGACACACAUUGUGAAAGUGCUAACAUUAUCAGUAGCGGAGCGAGAAUGAGCCAUUGGAAUGUCGGCGAUGGGAGCUUGGAACAAGCAACCUGCCAGAAGGUUCGGCUGUACAAUGUAGACCAUCAACACCAGAGCAUUCUCCAUCUUCGCAACCAGAUGCUCCCAGUGACGUCAUCAACAGCGUUGGACAUCGUAUCAGCACACACACAUUGAUUAGACGUGUGCAUGCUGUCGGGCUCUUUGAACAAUUCUGGGCAUGGCAUUAAUCUGCCAGCAUCAAAUGAAUUGUGAAGAGUUGGGUACGAUAUCUGAGGUGUUAGAGCAACACGUACACAAUGUAACACACAAUAAAAACUCCGGUUAAAAUAUUCCCGUGUUUCCGCGAAGAAUAAUCCCAAAGCGCCAGAUUUAUUGUCACGUGUGUGUGUCAAUCUAUAUUUCUUGUAUUUUUCCUGCAUGACCUGCAUUCAACUGAGCAUAUAUGAACCAGCUAGGCCUGUAUACAGUCACCUGCAAUUUGAAUAAAAUAUUUCAAAACUAAA